AUUGAACGCUGGCGGCAGGCCUAACACAUGCAAGUCGAGCGGAAGAAGGGAGCUUGCGCCUGGAUUCAGCGGCGGACGGGGGAGUGAAGCCUAGGAAUCUGCUUGGCAGGGGGGGAGAACGUCUGGAAACGGGCGCUAAUACUGCAGACGAGCUGAGCGUGAAAGAGGGGGAUCUUCGGACCUCACGCGAGCAGAUGAGCCUAGGUCGGAUUGGCUAGCUGGUGGGGUUAAGGCCUACCUAGGCGACGAUCCGUAACUGGACUGUGAGGCUGGUCAGUCACCCUGGAGCUUAGCCGCGGUCCAGGCUCCUACGGUAGGCCCCAGUGGGCAAUAUUGGGCAGUGGUCGGAAACCUGGUCCAGCCGUGGCGCGUGUGUGGAGACGGUCUUCGGUUUGUAAAGCACUCUUAGUUGGGAUAAACCGCAGUAAGUUAAUACCUUGCUGUUUUGACGUUACCAACUGAAUAAGCACCGGCUAACUUCGUG
rnacentral:rRNA from 1 species